rnacentral:rRNA from 1 species
UCCACGCCGUAAACGAUGAGUGCUAAGUGUUAGGGGGUUUCCGCCCCUUAGUGCUGCAGCUAACGCAUUAAGCACUCCGCCUGGGGAGUACGGUCGCAAGACUGAAACUCAAAGGAAUUGACGGGGGCCCGCACAAGCGGUGGAGCAUGUGGUUUAAUUCGAAGCAACGCGAAGAACCUUACCAGGUCUUGACAUCCUCUGACAACCCUAGAGAUAGGGCUUUCCCCUUCGGGGGACAGAGUGACAGGUGGUGCAUGGUUGUCGUCAGCUCGUGUCGUGAGAUGUUGGGUUAAGUCCCGCAACGAGCGCAACCCUUGAUCUUAGUUGCCAGCAUUCAGUUGGGCACUCUAAGAUGACUGCCGGUGACAAACCGGAGGAAGGUGGGGAUGACGUCAAAUCAUCAUGCCCCUUAUGACCUGGGCUACACACGUGCUACAAUGGACGGUACAAAGGGCAGCGAGACCGCGAGGUUUAGCCAAUCCCAUAAAACCGUUCUCAGUUCGGAUUGUAGGCUGCAACUCGCCUACAUGAAGCUGGAAUCGCUAGUAAUCGCGAUCAGCUGCCGCGAUGCC